rnacentral:lncRNA from 1 species
UUUUCCUUAUGACAAUGAUUACUUGAAUAAUUAUUUGAUUAUUAUUUUUCUUUAUUCUAGUAUUUAUUUAUACAUUAUUCAAAAUAAUUAUUCUUAUAAGAAAAAAUAAUUAUUGACAUGAAGAAAUGUAACGUUUUUGAAGAAAUGUAAUAGGAAGAAAUGUAAUAUUUUAAAAGUAUUACAUUUUUCACAAAAAUAUAUAAAAAAUACAAAAGAAAAAUAAUAAAUAAAUAAAAAACAAACGAAAAAACAAAGAAAAUACCAUAAAGGAUAAAAAAACAAAAUAUAAAAAAAAAUGCAAAAGAAAAAUAGUAAUUUUUUUUAAAAAAAUGCAAAGGAAAAUAGUAAAAAGAAAAAAGUAAAUAUAUAAAAAAAAAAUGCAAAAAAAUGAAGAAAACAGGAAAAGGAAAAAAUAACAUAAAAAAAUGGAAACAAAAUCAGAAAAAAAAAAAAA